GACUAUGAGAUUAUCUCACGACUGAUAAAUUCAUCAUGCGAUUUAGCCUCUAAUUCUUUAACACAAAACGAAAGCUCUUAAGAUUUUGUUGCAUAAAACGCUCAUAUUAUGAAUAAAAUAAUUAUCUAACUUCACAAACAGAUAGAUAAUUAUGAAACAAUCUGGCAUUGUUCACGUGAAUUUUUCCGUCACUAUCGCACAUCUGGUCACGCGAACUUUGUCCUGUACUUAGGUCAUUGGUUUAUCGGUCACCAAUUAGGUCGUAUCAUUUACUGGUUCCACAACAACCCCGCAUGCUUUGUUAGUGUCAAUGUUAUAUAUUAAAGCUUCCAAUGGAUGCUUUGCCGCGCGUCCAACAACUUCGUGAUAAUUAUGACUUGGUUUGUCAUUAUUAUUCUGACUGCCGUCGAGGCAGUACGCGUUUGAUUUUAACACAACAGUAUUUUUUUUUUGUAAUCACAUAACGACAUAUGUCAUAUGAAAAAAAAGUUUUUACUUUUAGAAAGUAUUGAAGUUAUGUAAUUAUUUAAAUAAAUAAUUCUACAUUAACUUCCAUACUGAUAUUAUUAAUGAAAUUAAAGUGGAUUUAGCUAGCAAAAACUAGUGAUUAGAGAAAUUCGUGAAAAAGUGUUAGUCAAGAUUAGCCCUGGAAGCCUGUCGUGGAACUUGACCGGUGGUGAUGUAAAACUGAAAGCUGACGUGAUGGAAACGAUGAUCAGCGUGUGGACUGUGGUGGAGCAUGUGAGGGUAGCCAGUGGUGCCGCUGAAGUGGCCAUCUUCACUGCAAUACUCUACUGGUUUUUCACUUCCAGCCGGGUAGCGGAUAUGCUAGAAGUGCUUGGAGAAAGGGUCGGGGGAUGGUGCGGACGAGAGUCUGGCUCGCUGCGGCAGGCAGUGCGUGCCCGCAGGAGACAACAAAAUGCCGACAUGUAUGCCAAGCUCGACGCUGACGUUGCUGUUCGUACGACGUCUCUGUAUAGAGUGAAAGAGAGCCCCGUGGUUCCAGCGCCGCAACCGGAGACAAGGCCCCCAGCUGGACUGGCGUGCGGCCGGUGCGCUCCUGUUUCAAGGGAUUCCUGGCACGACCCGAAGAUCGAAGACUCCGGUACCGUGAUCAACGUGUUAGAUAUAGGAAGACAGAACUUUGCGAAUAGUGGCGUUAUCUCAAGAUAUUUCUGUGAUCUAGCGCAAUGUUUCAAUCUUGUCAAGUUCCAGUACAAGGAUGUUAUUCCAGAUGUGCAAAAGGAUCCAGCUUACAUAAAAGCUAUCGAAGACACAACCGAAGAAGAACUAAAAAAGACUGAUUUGAACCUAGACGAAAAGGGAGAUGGAGAUAAUCGAAACAGCGCCGGCUAUCUGACCGUGAAGAAACGCGUCGAAGCCAGAGCGAAAAAAGUCUUGACCGAUAUUAGUUCGGCCAUGUCUUACAAUAUACUAAGAGUGGUGGCGUGGCUGACGCACAAGGCGAUCCGUCGCGUGGCGGGCGGCGGGUGCGGCACGCGCGCGGGCUCGGUGGCGCGGCUGCGGCGCGCGACGGCGGCGGGGCUGCCGCUCGUGUUCGUGCCGCUGCACCGCUCGCACUUCGACUACAUCCUCGUCACCUUCGCGCUCUACCUCACCGGGCUGCGGCCGCCGCUCGUGGCCGCCGGGGACAACAUGAGGAUACCCUUCUUUGGGUGGAUACUGCGCGGCUGCGGCGCUUUUUACAUCAGACGAAGAGUUGACGGUUCCGAGCACAACGGCGACCCCGUCUAUAAAGCAGCUUUAAGAUCUUACAUCAUAAACAGUUUGGCGGCCAACAACAAUCUGGAGUUCUUCAUUGAAGGCGGCCGGACUAGGACCGGGAAGCCGCAGCCUCCCAAAGCUGGAAUCCUGUCCGUGAUAAUGGAUGCGUAUUUGGAUGGCACCAUAGACGACGCCCUCCUAGUCCCGGUCACGUUGAACUACGACAAGUUGGUCGACGGUAACUUCGUGAGGGAACAACUCGGCAUGCCCAAGCAGAUGGAGACGUUCUGGUCGGCCCUCAGAGGGAUCUGGAGGACAAUGAACACUAAUCACGGCUCUAUAAGGGUCGAUUUCAAUCAACCCAUCUCUUUGAAGGAAUUGGUGCAAUCUUUCAAAAAGUAUAAUCACUUCAAAGCUCCCAUCGAAGCGCCUCUUGGUCCUGCCGAUGACAAAUUUUCUUCGGAUCUGGACCGGAGACUGUUGUACAACCACAGCCACUCGAGCUUGUACGGCGACGACGUCAGCACUGACCACAAGAUGAUGGUCGAGGCUAUUGGGAGACAUAUUGUUUAUGAGGGUGCUCAGGCCACGGCGGUGAUGUGCACGAACGUGGUGUCGUACGUGCUGCUGACGGAGGCGCGCGGCGGCGCGGGCGUGCGGCGCGCCGUGCGGGCUCGCGGCGCCGCGCUGCGGGCGGAGGGCCGGGACCUCGCCUACCGCGCCGACCCCGACCGCUGUCUGGAGCACGCGUUGGAAAUGCUCGGGCCCCUUGUGCAGCGAGAGCGGAGAACCGAAACACUUCGUCCUACUAAAUCGAUAGCCGCCGAGCUGGAACUCUCGUAUUACGCCAACACUCUGGUCGCGCACUACGCCGCGCCCGCUAUCGUCGCCACGGCCCUCGAGAGUAUAGUGUGUCGGCCGGAUGCGGAUGGGGACACGGUGCGGCAUCAGGAGCUGCUGGGCUCGGCGCUGCAGCUGUACGAGGUGCUGAGCGAGGAGCUUAUCCUGUGCGCGCCGUGCCACACCAUCCACGAGACGCUGUUGCGGGCGCUCGACCAGCUCCUGGCCAGCGGGGUCCUUGUUAAUGCAGAGCGCACUGACGGCUUAGAGGAAGAGAAGUGGUCUCGUCGAUUUGCCAAGGCUAUAGAUGACGAGGAAGACGACGGCUACGAGCGACCCGACCCGACCUUGAGAAUCAAGUACAUCAUUCAGAAAACUCCUGAAGCGAUCGCUGAGAGACGUCGCCUGCUGCUGACCCUGCGUCCCCUCAUCGAGUCGUACAGCGCGUCGUGCCGGCACCUCGCCCCCGGGACCGUCAAGUCGGUCGUCAAGGCGACCAUCGACGGUCUCGUCCACGACUACACUACUAACAAGAUGCCCUACGGCGCGGCCGUCUCUAGCGACGCGGUCAGGAACUGCCUGCGUCUCCUGAGGCAAUGGGGCGUCAUAGAAAUGUACACGGACAACAAGGAACGGAAGAUAAGGCUGAGGCCUCCCUACGACGACGCGCAGAAACUGAAUGACAUCUGCUCCCACAUCUACAAGUUCAAUGUCGACUCGCCUUUGCUCAGGGAGGAAAGCGCCACGUGAUCUCGACCAGCUGACUGUAAACCUUUAUCCGAAUUAGGACAACUAAACUUGAAACGGAGUGGACCUGAUGUGGUCUAUUAACACAUUGACUGCCGUGUAGGUCACCGGUGUCCUACACGGCAGUCAAUGUGUUAAACAAUACUGAUGGGUUUUUUUUUUCGUCAUAAAUCUUAUACAACCAAAAUUAGUGACUUAUAUGAUUUAAAGUAAACCUGAAACUAUGACGAAUAAAUAGGACAAUUCGCCGAUAUUUUUGCAUUUAAUUUACAUUGGUGCUUAUGUUUGUGCAUUUGUGUGUGGUCAUAAUGGGUUUUUAUUUAUUGCUUAGGUGGGGGACGAGCCCACUUGGUGUUAAGUGGUUGUUGGAGCCCAUAGACAUGUACAACGUAAAUGCGCCACCCACUUUGAGAUAUAAGUUCUAAGGUCUCAGGUAUAGUUUGAAUGGCUAAAACGAUUUGAACGUGAUUUUCAUUGGAGACAUAAUGAGGGUCGUGUGGGUUUUGGAUUGUGAAUAUACCGAUUUAAUAAACUCUAAGCAAUAAUUUAUUUUUAUCAUUUAAAAACCGUUGAUCGACUUACCUUCUAUUAUGUUUGAAUCGUUUCUCCAUUGUACUAUAGUGACCUGGCGAUAAAUCAAAGGAUAUCGUUUCUGUAUGGUAAACCACAUUAGCUCCGCUAUCGUUAAUUGUAAAAAUGUAAAUAAAUAAGGUUUUAAUUACGUAUGAUAUCUUAGUUCACUUCAUCUAGUGUAAAUGGGACAGAACAUUAUUAUGAACUUUAGAUUUUCAAUUGGAAUGAGAAAAUGUUGAUCUUUUUGUACUUUACUGCUCAUCAAAAUACAAUGAAAAGUAAUAACGUUUUUGAUGUGUUUGACAAUAAAGAGCUUAUGUUAGGUUAAAUUUAAGGUCCUAAAGACUCUUCGAUUGUGUGUUAUGAUCAGUGGUCGGAGUAGGUAGAUUGAUUUUAUAUAAUUGCGUCAAGAUAUUAUAAUAUGGACAUGCCAUUUUAUCCAUAAUGAUUAUUUUUUUAAAUUAAAAAUAAAUAUUUUUAAUCCUCAUCGGAUACAAUUUCUAUAUUUAUGAAAUAAAGUAACAAAAAGCCCUGUCUAAGUUUUGUCUCAUACUGACAAGCGUCAUUUCUAAUUCAACAGAAAGGGACAAAAUGCGGUGUAACUAUGCCAAGGCGUUUUUGAAUAAAAUAAAAUACUGAUUUCUUUCACCAUUAGCUAGCACUGGUAGCGUAGAUUAAUAUUAUUAAUACGUUUUUCACCUUAAACACAGAUUCAUGCUAAUUUCAAAAUUCCGGAACAAAUAUCACAAUAGAUAUGAAGUUCCGGUAUUUUCGAAGCAUAUCCAUAUUAUCCUCUACGUUUGAAGUCAACGACCUUAAAUCAAUCUACCUACUCCGACCUCUAGUUAUGAUCUACAAUUUUUACAUUUGACAAUAUUUUUUUUCUACAAGUUUCGUUGAUAUUUGAACUUUGUUCUAAACAUUAGGUGUUUUUGGUCGAUGUCAGCACGAUUAGUACAAACAUAUUCAAUGAGGGGCGAGAGUUUUUCUACUUUUGUCUCAAAUAAGUAAAAUCGCGUUUUUCGGACUCAAAACACAAAAAUGCUUUUAAUUCUAUAAUACGUAGUUCGUGUGGAAACCAGUUGAAUUGUGACUUUAAAAAUGUGAUUUAGUUUUAAGUAACAUAAGUUAUUUUUUACUUUAAAAUGUAAAGGGGAACUUGGAAAAAAUUGUAAAUAUAAUAAGUCAAAUAGAAUUAAAUAUAAACGGACGCGAGUCUAUGCAUGUUUGUUUCUAAAAUGUACCUAAUUGUUUUAUCUUUACGAGUACUAUUGACAAUCAAUAUGAACCUCAUCAGUAGAUUCUUAUUGAUAAGCGCAAUCGUUGACUUCAAACAAUUGAAUUUUUAAAUGAUUUAAGUUUAUUCUAGUUUACAAUUUUUUUCUGAUGUUUCCUUUAUAAACAAAAUAAUGGGCUUAGAGAUAUAAUUCGGGAGUACAACCUAUGUCUACUAGAUUAAAAAAUAAAUAAUAAUAAAUAAACAUAUUUAUGAAUAGCAUUUGCGUUAUAACGUUAAGAUUAUUAUUUUUUAAAUUACGCACUUCGUACCAAAAUAUGCGAUAGCUGACGGUUAAAUUAUAAAAAAUCAGUAAAAUAAAAUCCGAAUAAUCUGUAAACUAUUUAUUGGCAAGUUAUUUUUGUUUAUACACAUAGUUUCAAUUAAUUUUCCGCCGACGCAGCUACAUAUACACCUAUAUUCAUAGGUUAUAUCUGUGAAUCGGUUUAAGCAAUCUUCCUCUCGAUUUGAUUCGAAUUUCACCGUUGUGCGGUGAGACUAUUCGAACUUUGCUAAUAGCAGAUUCUAGCGACGUAAAACUUCGUCUAAUAAGUCAAAAAAAAAUGGAAAAGUAAUUUUAAAAGAUUGAAAGAUACGAAAAAAUAAAGGGGAGAUAAUUAGAGCGUCUUUUCUUUAUGUUGUUUCUUAUUACAAAAACGUUCGUCAACUUACUCAAUCGCCAUGCGUUGCUCAAUUUAAACUACAUAUUUUUAAGUUAAUAAAAAAUAGAUUACUUGUAUCAAUCGUUAAAAAACAAUAUGAAUUUGUAAAUUAAUUGUUACAGGGCUGUAUAGGAUGUGAUCUCAAUGCUUACAUUGAAUUAAACGAAUGACCCGAA